UACGUAGGGUGCAAGCGUUAAUCGGAAUUACUGGGCGUAAAGCGUGCGCAGGCGGUGAUGUAAGACAGAUGUGAAAUCCCCGGGCUCAACCUGGGAACUGCAUUUGUGACUGCAUCGCUGGAGUGCGGCAGAGGGGGAUGGAAUUCCGCGUGUAGCAGUGAAAUGCGUAGAUAUCCGGAGGAACACCAGGGGCGAAAGCGGCCGACUGGUCGAGUACUGACGCUGAGGCGCGACGGCGUGGGAGCAAACCGG
rnacentral:rRNA from 1 species